GACGAACGCUGGCGGCGUGCCUAAUACAUGCAAGUAGAACGCACAGUUUAUACCGUAGCUUGCUACACCAUAGACUGUGAGUUGCGAACGGGUGAGUAACGCGUAGGUAACCUGCCUGGUAGCGGGGGAUAACUAUUGGAAACGAUAGCUAAUACCGCAUAAUAUUAAUUAUUGCAUGAUAAUUAAUUGAAAGGUGCAAUUGCACCACUACCAGAUGGACCUGCGUUGUAUUAGCUAGUAGGUGAGGUAACGGCUCACCUAGGCGACGAUACAUAGCCGACCUGGGAGGGUGAUCGGCCACACUGGGACUGGGACACGGCCCAGACUCCUACGGGAGGCAGCAGUAGGGAAUCUUCGGCAAUGGACGAAAGUCUGACCGAGCAACGCCGCGUGAGUGAAGAAGGUUUUCGGAUCGUAAAGCUCUGUUGUAAGAGAAGAACGGGUGUGAGAGUGGAAAGUUCACACUGUGACGGUAUCUGACCAGAAAGGGACGGCUAACUACGUG
rnacentral:rRNA from 1 species